CUUCUCUUUUAAAGCACACACACGCGCCCACACACUGGAACUUUGGGUCUGUCAUUUUUUUUCCCCUUCCCUCGCCCUCCCUUUCUUGUUUGGAGGCCUUUUAAAAGUCCCCACUGUGUUGACACGGAUGACAGUGAAAGGAUGAAGAGGCAAAUUGGUCUUGGAUCUGUGUAGAUGGAGCGUGUGUGUUUUUCGUGCAACGCGUGCAUUUCAAAAAUGUCUUGGUGGAGCCCCCCCUUUCCAGCACUGGAAACCUCUCGGCCUCCUAUAAACGGAACUUCACGUUGGUCAAUCAUUUUCAAGUAACUACGAUGUUUCUGUAUCUGCCCGCACCCCACGCCCCGCACCAUCACUAUAGUUCUAUAAGUUAAGUCUUGGCCAACUAAAUAGUUUUUUUCCUACUGAAUCAGCAAAGAUCCAAGGUAACGGGGUUAGGAGGCAGCGGCGGAAUCUGACAGCUUGUUCAACUUAGAAGUUUUUUUCGAAUUCUCCUUUCCUUUAUCCCUGUUUAUUCCCUGUAAUAUUCAAUGGGAUUUUUGAAACUAUAUGAGGUGUCCCUAUGCUGACAGUACAGGAGGUAAAAAUAUUAUUGGGUGAUUGGGCCAAUUAAGAGUCUCCCCCCCCCUCCCCCAGCUUUUCUUCUCCGCUUGCUACUGUGUAAUGUCUAUUACGGUCGGAUAGCCCUGCAAACUUCACCAAAGGAUGUUCAGUUUAGAGAACUUUUAUGGUUGACUUGGAUUACUCCGUUUUAUGGCACGGAAACGUUCCCCACAAUGACCCCCGCCCCUCUCCUUCCUUUUUGACAUUCAAGAGAGUUGCGGUCGUGACGUCACGUCGAGUUGUCAUGGAGAAUAGCUACCGGCUUAAAAAUUAUAAAGCGUGAUAUUAUAGAGCAACAUAAAAUAUGGAUAUAAGCAACUACUUACGCCCGCGAAGAGAUUAAACAAAGAAGAAUACGAUUUUAAUACGUUCAGGAAGAAUAAUUCAAUGAUGAGGAAUGGUUGUCAUUAUCUAUGAGUUCUUAUUUUAUUUUAUUGUUUGCACAUGGGGGUGGGGGAGAAGGAAAAAUUAAUCUCAGGACGCCAGGAAGAAGA